rnacentral:rRNA from 1 species
GACGAACGCUGGCGGCGUGCUUAACACAUGCAAGUCGAACGGAAAGGCCCUGCUUUUGUGGGGUGCUCGAGUGGCGAACGGGUGAGUAACACGUGAGUAACCUGCCCUUGACUUUGGGAUAACUUCAGGAAACUGGGGCUAAUACCGGAUAUAAGCUCCUGCUGCAUGGUGGGGGUUGGAAAGUUUCGGCGGUGGGGGAUGGACUCGCGGCUUAUCAGCUUGUUGGUGGGGUAGUGGCUUACCAAGGCUUUGACGGGUAGCCGGCCUGAGAGGGUGACCGGGCACAGUGGGACUGAGAUACGGCCCAGACUCCUACGGGAGGCAGCAGUGGGGAAUAUUGCACAAUGGGCGGAAGCCUGAUGAAGCAACGCCGCGUGCGGGAUGACGGCCUUCGGGUUGUAAACCGCUUUCGCAUGUGACGAAGCGUGAGUGACGGUAAUGGGUAAAGAAGCACCGGCUAACUACGUG